GAUGAACGCUAGCUACAGGCUUAACACAUGCAAGUCGAGGGGAAACGACAUCGAAAGCUUGCUUUUGAUGGGCGUCGACCGGCGCACGGGUGAGUAACGCGUAUCCAACCUGCCCAUCACUUGGGAAUAACCUUGCGAAAGUAAGACUAAUACCCACUGACAUCCCACGAAGACAUCUGAAUGGGAUUAAAGAUUUAUCGGUGAUGGAUGGGGAUGCGUCUGAUUAGCUUGUUGGCGGGGUAACGGCCCACCAAGGCAACGAUCAGUAGGGGUUCUGAGAGGAAGGUCCCCCACAUUGGAACUGAGACACGGUCCAAACUCCUACGGGAGGCAGCAGUGAGGAAUAUUAGGCAAUGGGCGAGAGCCUGAACCAGCCAAGUAGCGUGCAGGAUGACGGCCCUAUGGGUUGUAAACUGCUUUUAUAAGAGAAUAAAGUGGGUCUCGGGAGACUUUUUGCAUGUACCUUAUGAAUAAGGACCGGCUAAUUCCGUG
rnacentral:rRNA from 1 species